UNNUAGGGUUUGAUUAUGGCUCAGAUUGAACGCUGGCGGCAUGCCUUACACAUGCAAGUCGAACGGCAGCACGGGUGCUUGCACCUGGUGGCGAGUGGCGAACGGGUGAGUAAUACAUCGGAACAUGUCCUGUAGUGGGGGAUAGCCCGGCGAAAGCCGGAUUAAUACCGCAUACGAUCCACGGAUGAAAGCGGGGGACCUUCGGGCCUCGCGCUAUAGGGUUGGCCGAUGGCUGAUUAGCUAGUUGGUGGGGUAAAGGCCUACCAAGGCGACGAUCAGUAGCUGGUCUGAGAGGACGACCAGCCACACUGGGACUGAGACACGGCCCAGACUCCUACGGGAGGCAGCAGUGGGGAAUUUUGGACAAUGGGCGAAAGCCUGAUCCAGCAAUGCCGCGUGUGUGAAGAAGGCCUUCGGGUUGUAAAGCACUUUUNGCGGNANAGAAAAANA
rnacentral:rRNA from 1 species